GCUCCCCAGUGGUGUGCGUGAUACGAUAAGAAGCUUUGAGCCAACACCUGAUCAAAGGGAGCCAAUCUCCAGAAAGGCGCGCGGGCUGCUUCCAUGUGGGGUGGUCGGUGAUGCCGGGUAGGUUCCCACCUGCGAAAGCAGGUUCACAAGCUCCUUGCGUUACACGGCACUGCGGAGGAGCG
rnacentral:other from 1 species